rnacentral:rRNA from 1 species
AGAGUGAACGCUGGCGGUAGGCCUAACACAUGCAAGUCGAACGGCAGCACAGUAGGAGCUUGCUCUUACGGGUGGCGAGUGGCGGACGGGUGAGGAAUACAUCGGAAUCUACCUUUUGGUGGGGGAUAACGUAGGGAAACUUACGCUAAUACCGCAUACGCCCUUCGGGGGAAAGCCGGGGACCAGCAAUGGCCUGGUGCUGAUAGAUGAGCCGAUGUCGGAUUAGCUAGUUGGUGAGGUAAUGGCUCACCAAGGCGACGAUCUGUAGCUGGUCUGAGAGGAUGAUCAGCCACACUGGAACUGAGACACGGUCCAGACUCCUACGGGAGCAGCAGUGGGGAAUA